rnacentral:rRNA from 1 species
UACGAGAGCCUCGAGCGUUAUCCGGAAUUAUUGGGCGUAAAUGGUGCGUAGGUUGCUGUGUUAGUCUUUUGUCAAAGCCCCGGGCUUAACCUGGGAUACGCGAAAGAAACGGCACAGCUUGAAAGUGCGAGAGGCGUACGGAACUCAUGGUGUAGGGGUGAAAUCCGUUGAUAUCAUGGGGAACACCAAAAGCGAAAGCAGUACGCUGGCGCAUAUUUGACACUGAAGCACGAAAGCGUGGGUAGCGAAUGGG